rnacentral:lncRNA from 1 species
AGUCGUAUUUCUGGGCAAAAUAUGAUUUGAGGACGUUUGGGGCUUCAAACGCAGGUUUGAAGCUGGCUGGUCUGUUCAGCUGCGAUUUGACGAAUUCUUCUGGUGCGGCGCUAUUAAGACCUUCAUUCCGGAUUUGAUUUAUUUAGCUUCGACUUUAAGGUGAGGGAUUUUACACUUAUUCGUAUAGUUAUAUAUGUUUUUAUUAUCGCGUUGAUACUUAUUUACGUGCAUCCAUUGAUCUAUGUUGUUAUGUGCGAUCAUGGGACCUAAGCCAUUGAUCUAUGUUAUGUGCGAUCAUGGGACCUAAGCCAUUGAUCUAUGUUAUGUGUGAUCAUGGGACCUAAGCCAUUGAUCUGUUAUGUUAUGUGCGAUCAUGGGACCUAAGCCAUUGAUCUAUGUUAUGUGCGAUCAUGGGACCUAAGCCAUUGAUCUAUGUUAUGUGUGAUCAUGGGACCUAAGCCAUUGAUCGAUCAUGGGACCUAAGCCAUUGAUUUAUGUAUGUGUUUGGUCAUGGGACUUAAGCCAUCGACUCAAAAUAUGAUUAUGUUUGUCAAGGGGCUCUAGUCUCUUGGCGUAUGUUUGCAAGUAUGAUAAUGUGAUUUAAUUAUAUAUGUGACAUAUAUGAAUAUUUUGUUAUGUUCCUC